UACGUAGGGGGCAAGCGUUGUCCGGAUUUAUUGGGCGUAAAGAGCGUGUAGGCGGCCAGGUAGGUCCGCUGUGAAAACUCGAGGCUCAACCUCGAGCUGUCGGUGGAAACUGUCUGGCUAGAGUCCGGAAGAGGAGAGUGGAAUUCCUGGUGUAGCGGUGAAAUGCGCAGAUAUCAGGAAGAACACCUAUGGCGAAGGCAGCUCUCUGGGACGGUACUGACGCUGAGACGCGAAAGCGUGGGGAGCGAACAGG
rnacentral:rRNA from 1 species